rnacentral:siRNA from 1 species
ACGAGGCGGGCCUUGACAUGAUUC